UUACAAUCCAACCCCAUCAACUCCCCCUAGUGGUGGAAGCUAUGAUCCAACUCCAUCACCACCCUCAGAUGGAGGUGAAAAUUGCAAUCCAACCCCAUCAACUCCUCCCGGUGGUGGAAGCUAUGAUCCAACUCCAUCACCACCCUCAAGUGGUGGUGGUGGAAGUUACAAUCCAACCCCAUUAACUCCCCCUGGUGGUGGAAGCUAUGAUACAACUCCAUCACCACCCUUAGGUGGAGGUGGAAGUUACAAUCCAACCCCAUCAACUCCUCCAGGUGGUGGAAGCUAUGAUCCAACUCCAUCACCACCCUCAGGUGAUGGUGGUGGUGGAAGUUACAAUCCAACUCCAUCAACUCCCCCAGGUGGUGGAAGCUAUGAUCCAACCCCAUCACCACCCACAAAUGGUGGAAGUUACAAUCCAACCCCAUCAACUCCUCCUGGUGGUGGAAGCUAUGAUCCAACUCCAUCACCACCCUCGGGUGGUGGAAGUUACAAUCCAACUCCAUCAACUCCCCCAGGUGGUGGAAGCUAUGAUCCAACCCCAUCACCACCCACAAAUGGUGGAAGUUACAAUCCAACCCCAUCAACUCCUCCUGGUGGUGGAAGCUAUGAUCCAACUCCAUCACCACCCUCGGGUGGUGGAAGUUACAAUCCAACUCCAUCAACUCCCCCAGGUGGUGGAAGCUAUGAUCCAACCCCAUCACCACCCACAGAUGGUGGAAGUUAUAAUCCAACUCCAUCACCACCCUCAGGUAGCAACUGUGGAACACCACCACAAGACCCCUCUACUCCAACACCCUCAGUCCCAACAACACCAUCAACCCCAUCAAACCCUCCCUUGGGAGGAGGUGGGUACUAUAACUCACCACCAACUUAUGGAGGUGGUAGCCCCCCAACACCAAUCACUGUGAGCCCACCUUCAACCCCAAUUGAUCCAGGCACCCCCACUAUCCC
rnacentral:lncRNA from 1 species